rnacentral:rRNA from 1 species
UACGUAGGGCGCAAGCGUUGUCCGGAAUCAUUGGGCGUAAAGAGCUCGUAGGUGGUCUGUUACGUCUGCUGUGAAAACCUAGGGCUUAACCCUGGGCCUGCAGUGGAUACGGGCAGACUAGAGGUAGGUAGGGGAGAAUGGAAUUCCCGGUGUAGCGGUGAAAUGCGCAGAUAUCGGGAGGAACACCGGUGGCGAAGGCGGCUCUCUGGGCCUUUCCUGACGCUGAGACGCGAAAGCGUGGGGAGCGAACCGG